rnacentral:sRNA from 1 species
AGAAAGGCCACUACGAAGUGGUCCAGUACCUGCUUUCAAAUGGACAGAUGGACGUCAACUGUCAGUUCCCAGCUGCUGCUCUGAUGGGGUCCCUGGCUCU